GCCUUCAGGGUGCAGUGGUCAGCACGCUGGGUGUGAAUUCCAGAGGUCCGUGGUUCGAGUCCCGGCGAAGGCG
rnacentral:tRNA from 1 species